rnacentral:rRNA from 1 species
CACCGCGGUUAUACGAGAGGCUCAAGUUUACAGAAAACGGCGUAAAGAGUGGUUAAUAGCUAUUAAACUAGAGCCGAACACCUUCCAGGCUGUUAUACGCACCUGAAGACAGGAAGCCCCAUAACGAAAGUGGCUUUAAGCAACUAUGACCCCACGAAAGCUAGGGAA